rnacentral:tRNA from 1 species
UCCUGGCUGGCUCAGUUGGUAGAGCCUGCGACUCUUAAUCUCAGGGUUGUGAGUUCAAGCCCCAUGCUAAGUG